rnacentral:rRNA from 1 species
UACGAAGGGGGCUAGCGUUGUUCGGAAUUACUGGGCGUAAAGCGCACGUAGGCGGAUACUUAAGUCAGGGGUGAAAUCCCGGGGCUCAACCCCGGAACUGCCUUUGAUACUGGGUAUCUCGAGUCCGGAAGAGGUGAGUGGAAUUCCGAGUGUAGAGGUGAAAUUCGUAGAUAUUCGGAGGAACACCAGUGGCGAAGGCGGCUCAAUGGUCCGGUACUGACGCUGAGGUGCGAAAGCGUGGGGAGCAAACAGG